GUGGCUUUUAUAGACUCCUGCGGUUCGGUGCUGUUGCCAGUCAGAAGAACAAUUUUCCAGAUAUUCCAGAAUCUCGGAUGUCCUGGAACAGAUUAAAACCUUGCUGCUGGAGGAACUUAGCUAAUUCCAGGAAUCUGUACCUUAAAUGGAAAUGAGCAGAAUUUAUCUGGUAUCAUCAGUGAUGAAGUUACCUGGUACGUUACCUUCUACUGUGCACAGUGAACUGCUGGAUGCUUCAAUGGAAAAGGAGCCUGACUCCUCAUUUAGCACCAGAUAUAGGAAUGCUCAGGAUUCACGCUUUCAUCUAGAUGAACACAUGGGCUAUCUAACCUGUCUUUUAAAAUGGGCUGACAAAAAAUUGCUUCUACUGAUCUGCUGUGUGUGUGUACAUGAGUUCAGUGGAGACUCAGCUCAGAGGAACAAUGAAGACACCGAAGGCCCAGUUACUAAGAGCUGUCUGUGCAGGGAUGAACAAAUGAGGAAAAGCAAAAAGAUAGCAGGAAAAAAUCUCCUGGUGCCACCUGAUCCUCUCACCUGA
rnacentral:lncRNA from 1 species